rnacentral:piRNA from 1 species
UACUUAGUUUGCAUUUUCCCU